rnacentral:lncRNA from 1 species
AUAUACAUAUACAUAUACAUACUAAACUUAUCAUAUACAUAUCAUAUACAUAUCAUAUACAUACUAAACGUAUCAUCAUAACGUAGUGGACUAUAUGUCAGAGAUCAGAUGACACCCGAAGGUGACCAGAUGACACCCGAAGGUGACCAGACCAGAUGACACCCGAAGGUGACCACUGUGGGAUGAUCAGUCGCCACAGGCUGAUGCCUCUCUCACCAGCUAGGUAUACAUACAUAAUACUAUGUGCACACAGGCUAACUACUCUCCGUUAGCAUGGAGUUACUGACAAGUCCCAUAUCAAGGCAUAAUAGAUAUUCACAUAAUCAUCAAAGAAACGUAUAUCAUAUCAAAUAGGAUUUACUUUGACAGAUUGCGAGUGCAAAUUCAAGAAUAAAUGAGUACUCGGAAAAUAAGCAACAUAUAUAAUUAUUCAAGAAAUUAACGAGUUGUACUCAUUGUAUAAUCAACAUACAUAUUUACUUAUCAUAUAUGCAUAUUAAAGAUUAUUCCACUCACCCGGAAAAUAUAGAACUAAAAGGAAUGUCAGACGAAAGACCCGAAAAUCCUAUUGAGGAUCAUUAGGAGAACCUACAACAAUAUAUGAAAUAUACUCAAAAAUAACUCAAACA